ensembl:snRNA U4 U4 spliceosomal RNA
GCCUUUGCACAGUGGAAGUAUUACAGCUGAUGAGCUUUAUCUGAAGCACAAGUAUUGCAAAUUCAAAACUUUUCCCAAUACCUCACAUUGACGACUUGAAAUAUGGUCGACAUUGGCAAUUUUUGACAGUCUCUACAGAGA